UACGUAGGGCGCAAGCGUUGUCCGGAAUUAUUGGGCGUAAAGAGCUCGUAGGCGGUUUGUCGCGUCUGCUGUGAAAACCUAAGGCUCAACCUUGGGCUUGCAGUGGGUACGGGCAGACUAGAGUGCGGUAGGGGUGACUGGAAUUCCUGGUGUAGCGGUGGAAUGCGCAGAUAUCAGGAGGAACACCGGGUGGCGAAGGCG
rnacentral:rRNA from 1 species